GACGAACGCUGGCGGCGUGCCUAAUACAUGCAAGUCGAACGAAGCUGUUUUAACUGGUGCUUGCACCGACUUAAACAACUGAGUGGCGAACGGGUGAGUAACACGUGGGUAACCUGCCCCAAAGCGGGGGAUAACAUUUGGAAACAGAUGCUAAUACCGCAUAACCACAGAAACCACAUGGUUUCUGUGUCAAAGAUGGUUUCGGCUAUCACUUUGGGAUGGACCCGCGGCGUAUUAGCUAGUUGGUAAGGUAAUGGCUUACCAAGGCGAUGAUACGUAGCCGAACUGAGAGGUUGAUCGGCCACAUUGGGACUGAGACACGGCCCAAACUCCUACGGGAGGCAGCAGUAGGGAAUCUUCCACAAUGGACGAAAGUCUGAUGGAGCAACGCCGCGUGAGUGAAGAAGGUUUUCGGAUCGUAAAACUCUGUCGUCAGAGAAGAACGUGUGCGAGAGUAACUGCUCGUGCAGUGACGGUAUCUGGCCAGAAAGCCACGGCUAACUACGUGCCAGCAGCCGCCGUAA
rnacentral:rRNA from 1 species